GACGGGUGAAAGUUGAACAGACGAGAGAAAGAGAAACAGAGGAGGUGUCUCAUCCUGACUGUUGUGAAAAGAAGGGUUGCCCGUUUUUCUAAGCGAACGGCGGCAAAAGCAACUUUAGAGAUGAGUUUGAGUGAUAUUCUAUUAGAGAUCGACGGUGGAGACGAUGAGAGAGUUGAAAAGCUUUUGCAGAAGUAUAACAAAGAGAACUGCCGCACAUUUGCCUUCGACCACAAAGAAGAGGAUGGGAGAAUUAAGUUGUGUCAGGGCUUGCUCACAGUACUUAGACGGCCUGUUCGGCCCCUUUGCCAAAGCACCUGCCUGGAGACCCUGCGCAUCCUGUCCAGAGACAAGCGUGUUCUGGGACCUGUAGACACUCGAGAGGGCAUCCUCACCCUGGCAGGGCUGGCCCGGAUCCGUGCAACAGGGGGUGUCAGAGAGCCAUUAGAGGAGGUGCAGUCAGCCGAAGAGGAGAAAGUUGUAGUGGAGGCCCUCAAGUGCCUGUGUAAUGUUGUGUUCAACAGUGUGGCAGCACAGCAGGUGUGCGCAGAUGUGCAACUUGCAGAGGGCCUGUGCGCCCGCUUAUAUUCGGUCAGCUCCGCCCAUCAUGAGGUGGGCUUGUUCUCCCUCCGGCUGAUCUUUCUGCUCUCCGCCCUGCGGACAGAUGUACGUGGCACACUGCGGAAGGAGGCAGGUGCGGUGAGGCUGCUUACAGGUUUGCUAGAACGCACCCUGGACGUGCGCUGGGUGGGGCCAUAUGAAGCCGCGCCUCCUGACCCACAGACCCCGCCCCUAUCUCCAGAGAACAAUGAGCAUGCCAUUGAAGCGCUUAAAGCUCUGUUCAACAUCACUUUGUCUGAUUCCAGUGAAGAGGACAAUGACCACCAGCUUCGACUCAUUGUAGGCAUAAUGCGACAUCUCCUGAUGCUGAAGACACAGAGUGAAGAUAAAACGGAGGAAGCUCACAGUCAUGCCAUAAACCUCCUGAGUAUCCUCCCAGUACAGUGCCUGGAUGUUCUGAUAGAUGUCCCUGUUCAAGGUGGGCUGGAAAAGUAUGGUGGGAAAAACAUGGACGUGGUGCAGUUGCUGCUAGAUUUUAUGGAGAAGAGGAUAGACAAGGGUUCCAACUACAAAGAAGGGUUGACACCAGUGCUGAGCCUGAUGACGGAGAGCUCUAGAUACCACCGGGAAAUCCGCAGAUACCUCAAGGCCCAGGUGUUGCCUCCCCUGAAGGAUGUAAAGGAGAGGCCAGAAAUCGGUUGUACGGUUCGUAACAAACUGGUGCGAAUCAUGACUCAUAUAGAUUUGGGAGUGAAACAGGGAGCUGCAGAAUUUCUUUUUGUCCUCUGCAAAGAGAGCGUGGACAAUCUGUUGAAAUACACUGGCUAUGGAAAUGCCGCGGGGCUGUUGAUGGCGCGAGGUUUACUGGCCGGAGGCAGAGGUGAGACACAGUACUCUUCUGAUGAAGACUCUGACACUGAGGAGUAUAAGUCAGUCAAACCAUUCAUUAACCCCAUCACAGGUCACAUAGAGCACCCAAUGCCAAACCCCAUGGAGGAGAUGACAGAGGAGCAGAAGGAAUAUGAAGCCCAGAAACUUGUCAAUAUGAUUGAUGAAUUAUCUAGUGCACCUGUCCCUUCUGCAACAAAGCACCCCCACAACAUGAUGCUGCCACCCCCAUGGUUCACGGUUGGGAUGGUGUUCUUCGGCUUGCAAGCCUCACCCUUUUUCCUCCAGACAUAACGGUGGUCAUUAUGACCAAACAGUUCAAUUUUUGUUUCAUCAGACCAGAGGAUAUUUCUUCAAAAAAUGAAUGUGGUACCUUCAGGCAUUUGGAAAUUGCUCCCAAGGAUGAACCAGACUUGUGGAGGUCCACAAUUCUUUUUCUGAGGUCUUGGCUGAUUUCUUUUGAUUUUCCCAUGAUGUGAGGCACUGAGUUUGAAGGAAAGAACUGAUCAGGCCAAUGGGAGUGAGGAGGGAUGGCACACUAGCGCCCCUUGGGGAGACUAUCCAUGGGUGCAGUCCACCACCCAGCAGCGACUCGGACUCAGACUAGCAGGAGCUCUACACUGAAACCCUUCUGGCCAAGCUGAUGGAAGGCAACACGAACUGUCGCAGUCUUACAUGCAGACUAUCCCAUGCAUUGGGGAUGGAUUAUAUUUAACUGCAUUUAUUCCUUUGUUGCACAAGUAUAUGUUUUUCUAAUCGGGACUUUAGAGAAAAAGGAAUUUUGUUCCUGAUUUAAUAUUAAAGAAAGCUGAUUGUAAAGAGAUCUUGAUGUUAUAAGACAUCCAGAUGAGCAAAUGUAUCGGUUUAGCUAGAUUAACUUUUAUUCAACAAAAUGUGGCUCAGAGGACGCACAUGUGUAACUGUUGCUGCUUCACAGGUAUACCUAAGAAACCUGUUUCCAAAUACAUGUAUUUAGAAAUGUUGUAUACCAAGACAAGCCAUAAAAUCAUUCAAAUUGAAACAUUUAGUCUUUAUAAACAUUUUGCAUACAGUAAUGUCCAGAAAAACCUGUCAGCACUUUUACUCAACGGGUGAUGCCUGGAGUUAAAUAUAUAUAUAUAUAUAUUCCUCUGGCCUUUGUUUUAUAUUAUUUUAGCUACCUAAAUUUCUAUAACCUUUUGUUUCAAGCUGUUUUGGGUGUAAUUAGUAUGCAGUAUGAAUAGUUUUUUCCCUUUUUUUUCUAAGGAAUCUUCACAAUUUUCUACACAAGACAGCAUGUAUAAUAAUGAAUAUAAUUCUGUUUUUCUAAAAAAUUGUUAGCUGUGCUUGAUUUUAUAGGCUUUGCAGAUGCAAAUAAUGGAAUACCUUUUUUGAAGAGCUCAAAACACGACUCAUGUAAUCACUGUAAUGUCAACAGAAUAAGGGGGCUUUAUAAAUCUUUGCUUAUAGUCUUUACUUUACACUGAGUUUAGGUUCUCUUGAUUUCUUUUGUCCUGCAGACAAUCAUUUGCAAUAAAACAAAAAACUACA